GCCGGAAUAGCUCAGUUGGUAGAGCAGAGGACUGAAAAUC
rnacentral:tRNA from 441 species